GCUGCUUCGUCCGCCUGCUCGAUGGCUCCCCUGGUGCUCCCUAGCUCUCUCUCCCCGUGUGGUAGGCCCGGCCUCGCGUGGACCCGACCCAUCCACUCUCGACUCUUGCCCGUGAAAUACAAAAACGCCGGCUCCAUGACUUCCUCCGUGCCGCCGCCGCCAUCCCAUACGCGCCGCCAGACCGCCGCUCGGCUCUGCUACCCUCCCCUACCGGGACUCCCUCCGUCCACCGAAGCCGCCGUCGCUGCAGCCACCGUUGCUAGAGCCACCGUCACUGGAGCCGCCGCCGCAGCCAAGUGUUGUUGCCGCUGCAGCCGAGACGCGGAUGUGGAGACGCGAAACGGCGGAUGCCUCUCCCUCGCCUCUUCCUCCCCCUGUGUCAGCGACGGCGGUUGGUACACUGGCAUGGGCCCUGCUAUACUUAGCGGCAGCAGCCUGGGUGCACCUCUCUCAGAUCCGCCCUCGCCCGCUUGGCACUCGAGAUGACGAAUCGGCCACUAGCACUCACAUCCCUCUGCUUAGUCGUCUCCACCCGCUCAUAUAUCCCGGCUGAGUCUUCUCUGAGCUGCGCUCACUUCGGCACUGAGGACGCCAGUGCUUGCUGCUAUAUUUUCAUUUGCGGUCGGUGCUUGUCAGAUAUAUCUGCACUUGUAAAUGGCAUGAGAAGGCACGCAUCAACAGGUGACAAGAAUCUAAGAGCUUUGAAUGCAUCAUUGCGUGCGAACUGCUGGUGGACUUUAAUUCCUUAAUCUGCUGAUGGACUUCAAUUCCUUAAUCAUAGAGAACCCAGGUUGUGGUGUGAUCCGUUUCAUGCUGCGAGGAAGUACAUAGGGAUGGUGGAGGACAGUUGCUGCACCUAUGAGACAAUGGAUGCCAUCAACAAGGGGAUCCUACAUCCAAUCCUUAGGAACUUAGAUUUUUAGGCUUCAUCUAUCUGCAAAUGUUGUUGGGGUGAACAAAUAUUGGAAGGCAUGAACAAAUAGUAGCAAUGGAAAUUUAGAUUUUGUAAGAAAGUAAAUAUGAAUGUAAGCAUAACAUUGCUUCUCAACCUAUUUAACAAUUCAUGUUUUAUUUUUA